AACGAACGCUGGCGGCAGGCUCAACACAUGCAAGUCGAGCGCCCCGCAAGGGGAGCGGCAGACGGGUGAGUAACGCGUGGGAAUCUACCCAUCUCUACGGAAUAACGCAUGGAAACGUGUGCUAAUACCGUAUACGUCCUUCGGGAGAAAGAUUUAUCGGAGAUGGAUGAGCCCGCGUUGGAUUAGCUAGUUGGUGGGGUAAAGGCCUACCAAGGCGACGAUCCAUAGCUGGUCUGAGAGGAUGAUCAGCCACACUGGGACUGAGACACGGCCCAGACUCCUACGGGAGGCAGCAGUGGGGAAUAUUGGACAAUGGGCGCAAGCCUGAUCCAGCCAUGCCGCGCGAGUGAUGAAGGCCCUAGGGUUGUAAAGCUCUUUCACCGGUGAAGAUAAUGACGGUAACCGGAGAAGAAGCCCCGGCUAACUUCGUGCCAGCCGCCGCCGUAAGAC
rnacentral:rRNA from 1 species